rnacentral:rRNA from 1 species
UACAGAGGGUGCGAGCGUUAAUCGGAAUUACUGGGCGUAAAGCGCGCGUAGGCGGCUUUGCAAGUCGGGUGUGAAAUCCCCAGGCUCAGCCUGGGAACUGCAUUCGAGACUGCAUUGCUAGAGUAUGGGAGAGGGAAGUGGAAUUUCCGGUGUAGCGGUGAAAUGCGUAGAUAUCGGAAGGAACAUCAGUGGCGAAGGCGGCUUCCUGGACACCAACUGACGCUGAGACGCGAAAGCGUGGGGAGCAAACAGG